GACAGAGGCCUCAAGCGUUAGGCGGAAUCACUGGGCUUAAAGCGUGUGUAGGCGGAUCGUUAAGUGUCUUAUGAAAUCCCACGGCUCACCCGUGGAACUGCUGGGCAUACUGGCGAUCUUGGGCCAACUAGGGGCAACUGGAACAAGCGGUGGGAGCGGAUGAAAUGCGUAGAUAUCGCUUGGAACGCCAACGGUGAAAACAGGUUGCUGGGGUUGUGCCGACGCUGAGACACGAAAGCCAGGGGAGCAAACGGG
rnacentral:rRNA from 1 species